GUCCCCAUGUGUCCCCAUUGUCCCCAUGUCCCCAUUGUCCCCAUGUCCCCAUUGUCCCCAUGUCCCUAUAUGUCCCCAUGUCCCCAUUGUCCCCAUAUGUCCCCAUUGUCCCCAUGUCCCUGUAUGUCCCCAUGUCCCCAUUGUCCCCAUAUGUCCCUAUAUCCCCAUAUGUCCCCAUGUGUCCCCAUGUCCCCAUAUGUCCCCAAGUGUCCCCAUCUCUCCCCAUAGGUCCCCACAUCCCCCCAUGUGUCCCCAUAUGUCCCCACGUCCCCAUGUCUCCCCAUAGCUCCCCAUGUCCCCAUGUCCCCCCAUGUCCCCAUAUCUCCCCAUAG
rnacentral:lncRNA from 1 species